rnacentral:rRNA from 1 species
GCAGUGGGGAAUAUUGGACAAUGGGCGAAAGCCUGAUCCAGCCAUGCCGCGUGAGUGAUGAAGGCCCUAGGGUUGUAAAGCUCUUUCAUCGGUGAAGAUAAUGACGGUACCCGUAGAAGAAGCCCCGGCUAACUUCGUGCCAGCAGCCGCGGUAAUACGAAGGGGGCUAGCGUUGUUCGGAAUUACUGGGCGUAAAGCGCGCGUAGGCGGAUUUUUAAGUCAGGGGUGAAAUCCCGGGGCUCAACCCCGGAACUGCCUUUGAUACUGGGUGUCUAGAGUCCGGCAGAGGUGAGUGGAAUUCCGAGUGUAGCGGUGAAAUUCGUAGAUAUUCGGAGGAACACCAGUGGCGAAGGCGGCUCACUGGUCCGAUACUGACGCUGAGC